UUUUUUUCUGGUACUUGAGUUUUUUCUGUCUUGUUUUCUUUCUCUUUCUCUUUCUCUUUUUAAUUUUUUCCCCCUUACUUUGAUUUCUAAUUUAUUUCUCAUUUUCUUUUUCUUUUUAUUCCCUUCAUCAAGUGGUGCCUAAUGUAAGUGUGGUCCCUCCUUACUGUAUCAUAAACAGGUAUUAUGGCAGAGAUAAUUUUCACUGAAGAGAUUAAAGCUGUAGACCCCACUAGGGGUCACUUCUGACCUACUGAUGAGUCCUUAAUCCUGUAAUUUUGCCUUGGGGUUUAUAGCCAACCCAGGAGUCAGUUUUCCUUCUGAUCCUAUAAUUUUCCACCUUCAUGAACCCCCAAGGACCCAAGUCAAAGGCAUUGUUAUCCACAUCCUCUCUGGACACAA
rnacentral:lncRNA from 1 species